ACUCAAAUGAAUUGACGGGGGCCCGCACAAGCGGUGGAACAUGUGGUUUAAUUCGAUGCAACGCGAAGAACCUUACCUGGGCUUGACAUCUACGGAACCUCUGUGAAAGCAGGGGGUGCCAUUUGGAGCCGUAAGACAGGUGGUGCACGGUUGUCGUCAGCUCGUGUCGUGAGAUGUUGGGUUAAGUCCCGCAACGAGCGCAACCCUCGUGGUCUGUUGUUACAGGUCGUAAGAUGCUGAACCCUCAGGCCAGACUGCCGGUGACAAACCGGAGGAAGGUGGGGAUGACGUCAAAUCAUCACGCCCCUUAUGUCCAGGGCUACACACGUGUUACAAUGGGACGCAGACAAUGGGACGCUUGGCAGCAAUGUCCGGCAAAUCCUCAAACUGCCCCUCAGUUCGGAUCGGAGUCUGCAAUUCGACUCCGUGAAGUCGGAAUCGCUAGUAAACGCAGAUCAGCACGCUGCGUUGAAUACGUUCCCGGGCCUUGUACACACCGCCCGU
rnacentral:rRNA from 1 species